rnacentral:rRNA from 1 species
GAUGAACGCUGGCGGCGUGCCUAAUACAUGCAAGUCGAGCGAACAGACGAGGAGCUUGCUCCUCUGACGUUAGCGGCGGACGGGUGAGUAACACGUGGAUAACCUACCUAUAAGACUGGGAUAACUUCGGGAAACCGGAGAUAAUACCGGAUAAUAUAUUGAACCGCAUGGUUCAAUAGUGAAAGACGGUUUUGCUGACACUUAUAGAUGGAUCCGCGCCGCAUUAGCUAGUUGGUAAGGUAACGGCUUACCAAGGCAACGAUGCGUAGCCGACCUGAGAGGGUGAUCGGCCACACUGGAACUGAGACACGGUCCAGACUCCUACGGGAGGCAGCAGUAGGGAAUCUUCCGCAAUGGGCGAAAGCCUGACGGAGCCACGCCGCGUGAGUGAUGAAGGUCUUCGGAUCGUAAAACUCUGUUAUUAGGGAAGAACAAAUGUGUAAGUAACUAUGCACGUCUUGACGGUACCUAAUCAGAAAGCCACGGCUAACUACGUG